GCUGCUGUAGUGUAGUGGUUAUCACGUCAGUCUUACACACUGAAGGUCUCCAGUUCGAUCCUGGGCAGCAGCA
rnacentral:tRNA from 1 species